GGGACAUGGACUGGUCUGUAUUGUAGGGGUUAGGGGUUAGGGACAUGGACUGUUCUGUAGUGUAGUGGUUAGGGACAUGGACUGUUCAGUAGUGUAGUGGUUAAUGACAUAGACUGUUCUGUAGUGUAGUGUAGGGGUGUUAGGGACAUGGACUGAUCUGUAGUAUAGGGGUUAGGGACAUGGACUGUUCAGUAUGUUGUGGGUUAGGAACAUGGACUGUUCUGUAGUGUAGGGGUUAGGGACAUGGACUGUUCUGUAGUGUAGGGGUUAGGGGUUAGGGACAUGGACUGUUCUGUAGUGUUGGGGUUAGGAACAUGGACUGUUCUGUAGUGUAGGGGUUAGGGGUUAGGGACAUGGACUGUUCUGUAGUGUAGUGGUUAAGGGUUAGGAACAUGGACUGUUCUGUAGUGUAGUGGUUAGGGGUUAGGGACAUGGACUGUUCUGUAGUGUAGGGGUUAGUGGUUAGGGACAUGGACUGUUCUGUAGUGUUGGGGUUAGGAACAUGGACUGUUCUGUAGUGUAGGGGUUAGGGGUUAGGGACAUGGACUGUUCUGUAGUGUAGUGGUUAAGGGUUAGGAACAUGGACUGUUCUGUAGUGUAGUGUAGUGGUUAGGGACAUGGACUGUUCUGUAGUGUAGGGGUUAGGGGUUAGGGACAUGGACUGUUCUGUAGUGUAGGGGUUAGGGGUUAGGGACAUGGACUGUUCUGUAGUGUAGGGGUUUUGGACGUACACUGUUCUGUAGUGUAGGGGUUAGGGACAUGGACUGUUCUGUAGUGUAGGUGUUAGGGACAUGGACUGUUCUGUAGUGUAGGUGUUAGGGACAUGGACUGUUCUGUAGUGUAGGGGUUAGGUGUUAGGGACAUGGACUGUUCUGUAGUGUAGGGGUUAGGGGUUAGGGACAUGGACUGUUCUGUAGUGUUGGGGUUAGGGGUUAGGGACAUGGACUGUUCUGUAGUGUAGUGGUUAGGGACAUGGACUGUUCUGUAGUGUAGUGGUUAGGGGUUAGGGACAUGGACUGUUCUGUAGUGUAGGGGAUAGGGGUUAGGGACAUGGACUGUUCUGUAGUGUAGUGGUUAGGGACAUGGACUGUUCUGUAGUGUAGGGGUUAGGGACAUGGACUGUUCUGUAGUGUAGUGGUUAGGGACAUGGACUGUUCUG
rnacentral:lncRNA from 1 species